rnacentral:rRNA from 1 species
ACGGGGGGGGCAAGCGUUGUUCGGAAUCAUUGGGCGUAAGGGCGCGUAGGCGGCGCGGCAAGUCUUCUGUGAAACCCCUGGGCUCAACCCAGGGCCCGCAGGGGAAACUGCCGUGCUGGAGUGUGGGAGAGGUGCGUGGAAUUCCCGGUGUAGCGGUGAAAUGCGUAGAGAUCGGGAGGAACACCUGCGGCGAAGGCGUUCUGCUGGGCCGAUACUGACGCUGAGGAGCGAAAGCGUGGGGAGCGAACAG